rnacentral:rRNA from 1 species
UACGUAGGGCGCAAGCGUUAUCCGGAAUUAUUGGGCGAAAGAGCUCGUAGGCGGUUCGUCACGUCGGCUGUGAAAUCCCGAGGCUCAACCUCGGGUCUGCAGUCGAUACGGGCGGACUGGAGUACUGCAGGGGAGACUGGAAUUCCUGGUGUAGCGGUGAAAUGCGCAGAUAUCAGGAGGAACACCGGUGGCGAAGGCGGUGGUCUGGGGCCGAUACUGACGUGAGGAGCGAAAGUGUGGGGGAGCGAAACAGG